UAGGGAAUCUUUGUCAAUGGGGGGAACCCUGACCGAGCAACGCCGCGGGAGUGAAGAAGGUUUUCGGAUCGUAAAGCUCUGUUGUUAAGGAAGAACGAGUGUGAGAAUGGAAAGUUCAUACUGUGACGGUACUUAACCAGAAAGGGACGGCUAACUACGUGCCAGCAGCCGCGGUAAUACGUAGGUCCCGAGCGUUGUCCGGAUUUAUUGGGCGUAAAGCGAGCGCAGGCGGUUAGAUAAGUCUGAAGUUAAAGGCAGUGGCUCAACCAUUGUAGGCUUUGGAAACUGUUUAACUUGAGUGCAGAAGGGGAGGGUGGAAUUCCAUGUGUAGCGGUGAAAUGCGUAGAUAUAUGGAGGAACACCGGUGGCGAAAGCGGCUCUCUGGUCUGUAACUGACGCUGAGGCUCGGAAGCGUGGGGAACGAACAGG
rnacentral:rRNA from 1 species